CCUACGGGGGACUGCAGUGAGGAAUAUUGGUCAAUGGGCGCGAGCCUGAACCCGCCAAGUAGCGUGAAGGAUGACUGCCCUACGGGUUGUAAACUUCUUUUAUCAAGGAAUAAAGUGAGGCACGGGUGCCUUUUUGUAUGUACUUUAUGAAUAAGGAUCGGCUAACUCCGUGCCAGCAGCCGCGGUAAUACGGAGGAUCCGGGCGUUAUCCGGGUUUAUUGGGUUUAAAGGGAGCGUAGAUGGGUUGUUAAGUCAGUUGUGAAAAAUUGCGGCUCAACCGUAAAAGUGCAAUUGAUACUGGCAGUCUUGAGUACAGUAGAGGUAUGCGGAAUGCGUGGUGGAGCGGUGAAAUGCUUAGAUAUCGCGAAGAACUCCGAUUGCGAAGGCAGCAUAC
rnacentral:rRNA from 1 species